rnacentral:rRNA from 1 species
GUGUCGUGAGAUGUUGGGUUAAGUCCCGCAACGAGCGCAACCCUUGUCAUUAGUUGCUACAUUUGGUUGGGCACUCUAAUGAGACUGCCGGUGACAAACCGGAGGAAGGUGGGGAUGACGUCAAGUCCUCAUGGCCCUUAUGGGUAGGGCUUCACACGUAAUACAAUGGCGCGUACAGAGGGCAGCGAAGGGGCGACCUGGAGCCAAUCCCGACAAAGCGCGUCGUAGUCCGGAUUGCAGUCUGCAACUCGACUGCAUGAAGUCGGAAUCGCUAGUAAUCGCGGAUCAGCAUGUCGCGGUGAAUACGUUCCCGGGUCU